rnacentral:rRNA from 1 species
AUACGUAGGGGGCGAGCGUUGUCCGGAAUGAUUGGGCGUAAAGGGCGCGUAGGCGGCGCGGUAAGUCUGGAGUGAAAGUCCUGCUUUCAAGGUGGGAAUUGCUUUGGAUACUGCCGCGCUUGAGUGCAGGAGAGGUUAUCGGAAUUCCCGGUGUAGCGGUGAAAUGCGUAGAGAUCGGGAGGAACACCAGUGGCGAAGGCGGGUAACUGGACUGCAACUGACGCUGAGGCGCGAAAGUGUGGGGAGCAAACAGGAUUAGAUACCCUGGUAGUCCACACUGUAAACGAUGAAUACUAGGUGUGGGGGGACUGACCCCCUCCGUGCCGCAGUUAACACAAUAAGUAUUCCACCUGGGGAGUACGGCCGCAAGGUUGAAACUCAAAGGAAUUGACGGGG